GAUGACUAUUCAGAAUUACAUUCAUUACAAACACACGUGAGAGGUAGCAAGAAUAUUGUUCAUAGAAGAACUCAAUGUGUUGCCUAAAGCUACUUACCUAAUUUACUAUUCAAAAAAAUACAACUGUUUAUUGAGGACACAACCUGACUUAAAGUAGAAAAAAGGCCCUAAUUAUUUUCCUGUAUUCUUGACUUCAGAGAAUGGUACCACCAUCUUUUCAAUUGUGGGGCCAGGAUGAUGCCUCAAGUUGGAUGACAGGAGUAGAUGGUGUUGAUGGUCAAGGAGUGGAUAGAAUAUCCAGCACACAGGACAAAAAGAUGAUUCGGGUCUCAGAUGGGAUGGAGCAGGAUCAUA